GAGGAGGAGAAGGGAAGAGGAAGACGAGGAAGAAGGACGAGGACGAGGACGGAGGUUUCAGUCAUGAAGUUUCUGGUGGAGCAUGAGAGCAAGGAUUGAGGACGGCUAGGCAGGCUUGGUGGUCUUCCCAGCCAGCCUGAUAGUAUCCACACCACUCCGCUUUGCCUUAUUUCCACCAAGGGAGGCAGUGCACCAUAUCUUCACGCAGAUAAGGACGUGCUGCACCGGUGGUGUGGUGUCGAGGGAAGCGCCGCUUUGUAUCCCUGUCCAACACUUUAUUGAACACAUGAAGGUGCUCCAGAGUUUCAAGAAGGGAGUGGCACACGCAAUUUGCUGCACUUCAAGCUUUUGUAGGUCCAGCGGCACACUGCACUCUUUCAUAAACGUGUGUGAAGACUUCAAGACAGAGAAGGGCAAGGAUGCAGGAUGAUUCAACAUUCACAGCAUCAUUGGUUCAUGCUUUCUUUUUUUGUGGAAAGUAUAGUGCACCUUCUUACUCAUCAUAAGUGCCAAGACAGGGUUCACCUUGUUGUAGCACCGCCAACUGCCGUCUUAAAGCUCUUGUCAACAUGAUGGGAACUUGGCUGUAUGCACCUAGCAUGAUCCCCGACAGCUUUUAUUACUGAUUAAUUAUAAAUAUCCGUAAUGAUGACAAUGUCCUUUGAUGCAGUAGUUUACUAUUAUAGAUAACUGCCUAGAGGGUUGUCGAGCGUAUUAUUCUGUUUGCCAUGUUUCUUCUGUUUAGAUAUAGUCUAACUACUCCCAAAGUAGUAAUAUGAUGUCAAUUCUAGAAAAUUAUGUUAAGGAGUUAUUUCUUCCUAUACAUAUAUAAAGUUGACAAAUGAUGAGCCUAAAGACUAACAGCGGAGUGACGGUCAGGCAUUCGAGACCUGAGGCUAACUGAGUAGAAUGCGGUCCCUGAAUGAUGUUCUACGUCUUUUAUAUAUAUGGUGACAAUAUAGUGCUGCAAGAUUCUUAUACUCAUUUUUUUGUUAUAUCAGACAAAUGUAUAUCCGGAUGGCAAUGAUAGGUGGAAUGAAGUUGAAAAUAUUCCCAUAGUAAUGUAAUACUUGAGAAAAUUGCGUAAACUAUUUC